rnacentral:misc_RNA from 1 species
CCGCCUGCGGUUGCACUAGGCCAAAGUGAAGAAUUGCAUGGCGUUGACUUGUCUGAACCAAGCACCAAAACCAAGCACAAGAGAACCGCAGUGAUAAUUGGAUUCUCAUCAGGAGUAGUAGUUUUAAUUGGUUCGCUUAUUUGCUUUGUGACGGCUGUGAGGAAACAGAGAAACCAAAAGCCAUCAACAGCUGUCAUUGCGUCUGAUGGA